rnacentral:tRNA from 1 species
GGUGAGAUGGCCGAGCGGUCUAAGGCGCCAGACUAAGGAAUGACCAGGGCAGUCGCUGUCCAGUUAUCUGGUCACUUCGGUGGCGUGGGUUCGAAUCCCACUCUCAUCA